UGCUGUUAAAGCGCGCUGAAAGCACCGGUUCUCGUACGAUCACCGAAGUUAAGCAACGUCAAUCUGGUCAGAACCUUGAUUGGUGACCGUUUGAGAAUACCAAGUGUUGUAAG